UCCUAUUUCAGAAUGAAAAUAUUGAUUUACUGAGAUUAUAAUGUGUUAAAAAGAAAAGAUGCAUCAGCUAGUGAUUUAAUUCAGAAUUGCAUGAAAUGGAAAAAUAUGGUUCAUCUAGAUAAUCCCAAGUGGUUGGAUAAGGUUCCGUUGAGCUCAGUAUUGAAAAAGAAAAAUAAUAAAUUGAUUAAUUAAGCACAAAAUAAGAAACAUAAUAGCCUUGUUGCACAUAGUUAUUGACCUUUUAUUUUUCUCUUCAAUAGAUGAAUGCAGGUGUGGUGGUGCUCACGGACUGCGUCUUUUGGUUCAUAAUUGUACCGUUUCUAGCAAUCAAAGAUUACGAUCUAAAUUUUUGUGCUUAAUCUUUGACGUGGCAGUUGAUUAUAAAUAUGCAUACCAUCAAUGCUGUUUUUCUGCUCGGCGACACUGCUUUGAAUUGCUUGGUAUGUUGCAGUUCUUUUAUCUUGAUUUCAAUUCCUAUUUUGCUUAACAAUUUAAUCUUUUAGCCUUGUCUUUCUCUUCCAACGGUUCUUUUGGCUUCGAAUUGCAUACUUUUUCCUGUGGACUGCUGUUUAUGUACAUUUUAAAAUGGAUUGUCCAUGCCUGCGUUUCGCUUUGGUGGCCAUACCCUUUUCUUGAUUUGUCAUCUACAUUUGCUCCACUAUGAUGGUUUUGGACAUACAAAUGUGGAUAUGAUUUUUUUUGACAAGUACGGAAGGGCAUUGUUUUUAUACGUCUACCCGUAUAUAUAGUGGUUUGUACAAAUUACUUUUUUGGUGUGUUAAAUAUAAGCUAAUUUGG